GGGGGCGUUACGGAUUCGACAGGCAUAGUUGAGCCUGAAUUGCGCUUCGUAGGUUACGUCUACGCUAAAACGUUACAGUUAAAUAUAACUGCUAAAAACAAUAACAACUCUUACGCUUUAGCUGCCUAAAAACAGUUAACGUAGAUCCUCCCGGCAUCGCCCAUGUGCUCGGGUCAGGGUCCUAACUUAAGUGGGAUACGUUUGAUUUUUCCGUCUGUAAAAUCAAAAAGAGCUUAUCAGACUAGCAAUACAAACUGCCUGUCGUUCGGCAAGUUGUAACGCGAAACCUUAAAUGAGUCGACUAUGAGCGUAGAUUUUUAGGUAGCAAUAUGUUUGGACGCGGGUUCGACUCCCGCCGCCUCCAUUA
rfam:Enterococcus sulfureus ATCC 49903 acyDF-supercont2.1, whole genome shotgun sequence.